rnacentral:rRNA from 1 species
CCUACGGGCGACAGCAGUGAGGAAUAUUGGUCAAUGGGCGGAAGCCUGAACCAGCCAAGUCGCGUGAGGGAAUAAGGCCCUACGGGUCGUAAACCUCUUUUGCCGGGGAGCAAGGGCCGGGACGAGUCCCGGUCCGGAGAGUACCCGGAGAAAAAGCAUCGGCUAACUCCGUGCCAGCAGCCGCGGUAAUACGGAGGAUGCGAGCGUUAUCCGGAUUUAUUGGGUUUAAAGGGUGCGUAGAUGGCAUAGUAAGUCUUUUGUAAAAAUGCUGGGCUCAACCCAGUAGGGCAAAAGAUACUGCAAAGCUAGAGUAUGACAGAGGCAAGUGGAACUACAUGUGUAGCGGUAAAAUGCGUAAAUAUAUGUAAGAACACCAGUGGCGAAGGCGGCUUGCUGGGUCGAUACUGACAUUGAGGCACGAAAGCGUGGGGAGCAAACAGGAUUAGAUACCCUAGUAGUC